UACGGGGGGGGCAAGCGUUGUUCGGAAUUACUGGGCGUAAAGGGCUCGUAGGCGGCCAACUAAGUCAGACGUGAAAUCCCUCGGCUUAACCGAGGAACUGCGUCCGAUACUGAAAGGCUUGAAUCCGGGAGAGGGAUGUGGAAUUCCAGGUGUAGCGGUGAAAUGCGUAGAUAUCUGGAGGAAUACCGGUGGCGAAGGCGGCAUCCUGGACCGGCAUUGACGCUGAGGAGCGAAAGCCAGGGGAGCAAACGGG
rnacentral:rRNA from 1 species